AUUUAAGGGCUGACUCCCAAGGAGGAAGGAUCUCUAUCUGGAAAUCACUCCUCUUGGAGCCCUUCUGCAAGCUCAGGACACAGGAAAGAUUUUUGAAGACUGCAGAGACCCAACACCAGUCUGUUCUGAAAAAGGUUCUGAAAGUCAUAUGUUUUAGCUCCACCACAGACUCAUCUACUCAGACAACAAGCUAGGAAAAGCACUUGAAGCCUGUAUAAUUUAUACAGGUGAUCCUGCAGCAACAGUGGCUUCUUACUCUGCUGUUUACACUGAGCAGUUCCAAUUAAGGAGGAGGAUUAUCCCCUGCAUGGAAGCUGGCAAUGGCUCUAAUGUAAGAAACAUCAGGCUGGUCACACAAAAAAAUAAAUAGUGAAGAUCAAAAGCACUGGCCUGAUUGUACUCCAGCCAAGAAAAAGAAAACGGCAAUCUAGGGGAAACAAAAUGAGCCAGAAGAAGCCUUGUUCUGUCAUUCCAUGUAACUUGAUUUGAAAUGCCCUAGAAUAUCUCAGAAAUCCAAUCAAAUUGGAAAAUUCAGAAAGGAUAUUGAAAGGCAUGUUGCUUGGGAGACACAACUGAAACUCAGAUCCCUGUGCCCCCCAGUCCUCUUGCUGGCAGGACAAUACAGAAAGCUUAAAAAUGAAACAUCUUUGGCCUCUGUACGGAACUGCUAAGUAACAACUAAAACAUCAGUGUGUUAUCAACAGUACUUUUCUCCUAAAGCCAAAACAUAACAUCAGACCAGACACCAUGAAGAAAGUCAGAACUGUAGCAGCUGAAACCAGAAAACCCUGGUACAUGUGCAUAGGCUAUCAGUAGAUAAAUAUUUGAUCUCUUACUAAUGAACAGAAUGCAAUCUUAACAUAACUACAUCUGAAUGUCAGGUAAUUUACUUAGAAGCCCAUUAAAUGAAACAUUCUGAAUUCAAGUUUUCAUGGGCAUGAACAAUUGUGUAUAUAUAUAAACAUAUCUAUAGAUAGAUGUAGAUGUCUGUCUAAUCUGUCAUCUCUUAAUCAAUCAUCUUAGAUGUCUAAUCUGUAGGUUUAUUCUUUCAGGGUUCUCACUGAAAGUGUCCUGAUCUGUAGCAGGAAGUCCUUUCUGUUCUGCAUAGCACAGACAAAAUUCUAUUUCCCAAAAGAAGUGCUAAGGGUCCUAGACAAAUUCUUGUUCUCAGAUCAGUUCCCAGAUUGCCACAGAUCUGGUAGUCCUGUUAACCAAAUUAAGAGUCAAGAGUUAAACAGACAUCAGACAACUGAAAAGCCAGAACUUAAAUUUCUGAGAGUGUUAAAAGGAAGCUUCUAACAAGAAGCCUGGUCCUACCUACAAAAUUUUACAAUUCAGUCUUCAGAUGUCACUAAUCACAGCUCCAAGUAUCUGAUGAUUAUUUCUAUUCACAAAAAGCAUGCAGAAGAUGCACACUGACAUGCAUAGACAUAGUUGUCUAAGGGACAUUAAGUAUUAAGGGCUGGCUGCCACCAAAGAAGAGCUUCUAUGUGGAGAUCCUUUUUUUUUUUUUUUUUUCUUUUUCUUUUUUAGAGUAUUCAGUGAGCCCUGAUCCUUGGGAUGGAUAAGCAAAGUUGUUCUGUCUUUAACUGCAUUGUAAUCAUCUCCCUUUUUGGGGUAAUUUAGAACUGGUUAUCUGUUACAGCCUUUCCCUACAUCAGCAAAAGUGGAUGGAGAUGUAUGUUUUUUGUGUGACUCAAACUGAUAUACUUGUGGUUGAAAUUUUUUGUCUCUUACAUGCUUACUGUUUUACAUGCUUAUUGUUAUAGAACAUAUGCACAGAGAAUUUCUGAAAACAAAAUUAAACAAAUAACAAGAAGUUGAGAAUAUCUCCCCCUUGAGGAGCUUCUUUGCAGACUGCAAAAAAGAACCUUACUUCGUAGCAGUAAGACCAAAGUUAUGGAUUAUAUAGGAAGAAAAAACAACUACAGAGAUGUAUUUCUAGUUCACUUUUCACAGGAUGGCAGUGUCUACUGUGAGAGAGCUGCUGAUAUAGUACACAGAUGACUUUUUUUUGUUGAUUUACAUACAUACCAUAAAUGUAUAUGGCUGCCAAAUAAUUCAUUAUAGGUUAUAAUGUCUACAUUAAAUAUUGAAACAGAUAUUG
ensembl:lncRNA